rnacentral:sRNA from 1 species
UCAAGUUUACCUGCCGACUAGUUUGA